UGGGGAAUAUUGCACAAUGGGCGCAAGCCUGAUGCAGCCAUGCCGCGUGUAUGAAGAAGGCCUUCGGGUUGUAAAGUACUUUCAGUCGGGAGGAAGGUGGUAAGGUUAAUAACCUUAUCAAUUGACGUUACCGACAGAAGAAGCACCGGCUAACUCCGUGCCAGCAGCCGCGGUAAUACGGAGGGUGCAAGCGUUAAUCGGAAUUACUGGGCGUAAAGCGCACGCAGGCGGUUGAUUGAGUCAGAUGUGAAAUCCCCGGGGUUAACCCGGGAAUUGCAUCUGAUACUGGUCAGCUAGAGGCUUGUAGAGGGGGGUAGAAUUCCAUGUGUAGCGGUGAAAUGCGUAGAGAUGUGGAGGAAUACCGGUGGCGAAGGCGGCCCCCUGGACAAAGACUGACGCUCAGGUGCGAAAGCGUGGGGAGCAAACAGG
rnacentral:rRNA from 1 species